rnacentral:RNase_P_RNA from 1 species
CAAGGCAACCGAGCCCUCGCGCAAAACCACUUUUUUGGUUUUGUGAGGAAGGUCCGGACACCUGCUCUACAGGAAGAUUUUUUCUUCCUGGUGGGGGCAACGCUCCGGGUAACACCCGGCCACCGAAAGGUGAGGGGUGCGAACAGAGACGCCUUGGUGGGGUAACCCACAAGGGUUCCUUCAGAAAAUUUUUUCUGAAGGAAUAGCCCAGCUAUAAGGCAAAAAAGUUUUAAUUUUAUGUUAUUUUGUCGGAAAAACCGACAAAACAACUCUCUUUUUGCCGAAGGCUGGGGUGAAACGGCUAAAUCCCUGCGGGGUGCAACUCAGCCAGUUUAAAAAUUUUCUGGCUGGGGCUUGAGCCAAGGGGUAACCCUUGGCCCAGACAGAUGAGGGCUUAAAAACAGAAUCCGGCCUACGAGUUGCCUUGGCUU